GGAGACAAACAUAUCGUUCAUCUCAUUUUCUCCUAGACUUGUGCCGCAUCGUCCCAUCCCAGGGGUAAUGUUGUGCUCUCCCCUCCUCUCCAAAUCACCCCUUCAUGUCUCCAAUCGAUGGGGAGCUGAUCCUUCCCCAUCUCAAUAUCUCCCUCUUUGCUUUUCCAUUGUGUUGGUGCUAGGCGUGGUGUUGCAGGGAGGAAGAAGGACGAACGGGGAGGAGCAGAAAAGGAAUAUAAAUCUCGUUCCCUAAGGCAUAUAACAAAGAAGAGACGAAACCAGUCUUCGCCCGAAGUGGAUAGCGAAGAAGCUUCGUCCAAGAGCACGAAUAAUGAAGAUGCACGUCGAGGCGGAAGUGCUAUCAAAUCAUUCUAUUUCUUUGUUUAGGUAUGUUGCUACCAUUCAUACCAAAAUUGUGCUUAGUAGUCCAUGUAAAUUAGGACUCUUGUACUCACUUGUUCUCACAUUAGCUAUGCCUUCUUCAUUAAAGUUCUUCCUUGUACCUUACCAUAGACUUAAGCAAUAUGCAUUGUACUCGUUAAUCUUCUUCUGUAGUCGAACUAUUGAUGUUCUCAGUCAUAGAAAUCACAUUCAACAAUCAUCUUAACCA